GCUUGUGUAUUAAUUUGCCUGUAACUAAAUCAGAAUUCCAUUAUGUUUACAUAAAAAAGAGAAUCCUUCAAAAUGAGAAGAUCCUGCUAUGGAAAAGAUGACUGGGUGGAAAGGAGUGGAAAGUGGAAAGGAGGGGAAAUAACUCCCACCAUGCAGCAGGACACCUUCAGCUGUGGGGUCUUUGUAAUGCAGCUGGUCAAGGAAGUUGCACAGAACUUCCCCAACAUCCCCUCCCAAAUUGAUAUGGAACCUUCAAAAACACAUGGAGCAACUACGAAAAUAAAUGGCUGAGGAUAUACUAAAAAUGUCUGAGUUCAACAAAGCCAACAACUGCUUCAUGUGUGCCACUGAUAAAGAACCUGGAUGUGGCCCAAAGACUGACUGGAUUGCAUGUUUUGCAUACCAACGGUGGUUCCAUGUGAUGUCACUAGGAAUGAAGACAAAAUAGUUCAGAGUAAAGAACACAAACUGGAAGUGCAGUCUUUGUUGUUGGAAAUGUAUGCUUAUACCCCAUCCACACUGAAGAGGCUCUGACAUGUACAUCAAACAGGAAUAAAGAGAAAGUUAACUUCAAAUAAGUAUGAAACAUUUCAGUGUUACGUGUCUGUUGACAUGUUGGAAAAGAUUAAAGGUCUACAAUUUCUGUUUAAUUUGUCAAUAUUACAUUUGUAUUCAUUGAUUUACUGGCCACCAUUACUGUGGUUACAUGUUCAGUAUAUGUAUUGACCAGCAAGCCACUGCAGCCUACCUCACCAGCUCACUCU